AAGACUUUGCGCGACCAAUGUAUUUCGUCGCGCAAAGUCACUUUGCACGACCAAUGAAAAACCUUGGUCGCCAAAGUUUUUCUUCACGAUCUUUGCGCGACAGAUUCUACGGGACGAAGUUUCUGUCGCGCUGAAAUUUGUGCGACUACAAUCUAUAUUGCGCGACGAAAUUCUCUUCGUCGCGCAAAGUGUAAAAUGUAGUAGUGACUACAAAUAUUCAAAAAGACAACGCUUAAUACACAACGGUUGGCUCCAAAACUGUUGUAGAUGUUUCUUCCACAACGGUGUAACCGUUGUUAAAAAAGGUUUUUAAGCGUUGUGAUUUAGGCUAUGUGGUUGUCUGAUUUUAUUUCAGUAGUUUCUACAAUGGUUUUCAUUUCAACCGUUUUAAUUGAAGCUUUUUAUAAAAAAAAACACGGAGUGAAGAGUGGUUCAAUAUUUUUUCUUAAGCCCCGAUAGUUCUCAUUCUCUCUUAAUUUCUCUUCUAUCUUUUUCCUCUCACAUCUACCUCUCUCCACGGUCUUGUUCUUCCCACCUUGUCGCCUUGCCUUCGCCACGGCCAUAGACAGAGAGACUUUGUCUCUCGCGUCUUUCUCUCUCCACGCUCUCUCUCUCUCUCUCUCUCUCUCCUUCUAGUUCAGAGGGAUUUGGGUUUUAAUUUUAGGGUUACUGAUUUGGGUUUUAAUCUAACAAUUUGGGUGUUGGCUUGCGGUCGCUCUACCUCGAUCAACAAAGGCGCUUAGCUUUUCCAUCUCUCUUGCCCUCUACGGCUGUUGCGCUCAGUCUGAAGCUUUGAUAAGUUAGAACUCUGGAUUCUCAGUCUCAGGCCCCUUUCUCAGUCCCCUUUCUUUCAUAAGAACUCUGUGUUUCGCGAAUUUGAGUGGUUGUUCAAUUUAUAAACUCAAUUUGAGUGGUUGUUCAAGAGCUACCACCUUCUCAAUAAACGCAAAAGAUUAAAAAUUUUAAAAAAAAUAUAAAAACUAAAUCAAUAACAAAGCAGGAGGGUCUCUCAGAUCAAGGUGAUGGCGUCGAAACGGAUCUUGAAGGAGCUGAAGGACCUCCAGAUAGAUCCUCCUACUUCAUGCAGCACUGGUCUUUUUCAUUUCCAAACCCGAUCCGUUACCUCUUCUUUUUCAUUUUGAUUUUGUUAAAGUUUUAAUUUUGUGUUUUUGGGUAAGAAUUGAUGUAGGAGUUUGUUGAUUGCCUCCUCUUUGGAGAUUUUGGCUCAUGUGUACCAUCUGAUUUGAGCUUCCGUCUAUGCUUAUUUUUAGAAAUUUGCUAUUUUUUAUUAACCCAGACCAGGAAAUCUGUGCAAAGCUACAGUCUUGCACCGAUCUGGUGGUCAUGUCAAUUUUAUAUUAUUGUUCUCAUGCCAAAUUAUGUGAUUGUCUCAUAAUCGAAUGGAAUUGCAUUAUUUUUAAGUUGGUCAACUGAAUUUCAUCGUUAAGAACCAUCAGAGAAUAUGAAAGAAAAUAGUGAAUGAUAUGGGAUACUGAAGGUGCUAUUGUGUGGGAAUAGAUCUCCUACCUAGCAUCUUGGGUAUAAAUGGGUAAUUACCUUUUUAACUCCUUGCUAAAUGGUCUGGGUUGUUGGAACCCGUAAUGACCCAUUGAAUCCACAGGAAGAAAAGCUUUUAAUUUUAUACCUGGUUAUAUGUAUAUCUGCUGCAGUUGGGACUGAUUUUUGUCAUUCCGAGUCUUGUAUGAUUUUGAGGGCUGAUUAGACAUUAAGGUGUUAAGGAGGGAGGUUGGGGCAGUCAAAGAAGUUGGCUGGUAAUUUGAAGUUGGAACAAUGUUACCCUUUGGUACGGCCGUUGUAUUGUUUUAAAUGUUGUGGUGGGAAGACUCAUUCUUGUCUGCCAGGGUGGGUGGUUGAGUAUUGUUUCGGGGUUACUUUCUUGACGCUUAUGUCAAUAGAUUCUCUGAAAUAGCAUUUCUCUGCAAGUGAAGGAUCAAAUGCUUUCUCUUUCUUCUUUUAAUAUAUUUCCCCUUUGGAACACUAUCUACCCCAUUGAGUGAAUUAUAGUAUCUUAAGCUGGAUAUUUCCAUAACGGACCUUAAA